GACGAACGCUGGCGGCGUGCUUAACACAUGCAAGUCGAACGGAAAGGCCUGCUUUCCCUUGUGGAUUGCGGGUGCUCGAGUGGCGAACUGGUGAGUAACACGUGAGUGAUCUGCCCCCAACUUGGGUAUAAGCCUGGGAAACUGUGUCUAAUUCCCGAUAGGACUGCAGGGUUGUGCCUGUGGUGGCAAACGUUUUUCUAGUUGUUGGGGAUGCGCUCGCGGCCUAUCAGCUUGUUGGUGGGGUAAUGGCCGACCAAGGCGGCGACGGGUAGCCGGCCGGAGAGAGUGGACGGCCACACUGGGACUGAGACAAGGCCCAGACGCGGAGGGGAGGCAGCAGUGGGGAAGAAAGGACAAUGAGCGGGAGCCGGAAGCAGCGAGGCAGCGUGGGGGAUGACGGGAUUGGGGUUGUAAACUCCUUGGGAACGAGAGGAAGCCACGUGGUUGGAAGGGUGGUGACGGUAGUGGUAGAAGAAGCACCGGCUAACUACGUG
rnacentral:rRNA from 1 species